rnacentral:rRNA from 1 species
GGGUUGUGAGGUUAAGCGACUAAGCGUACACGGUGGAUGCCCUGGCAGUCAGAGGCGAUGAAGGACGUGCUAAUCUGCGAUAAGCGUCGGUAAGGUGAUAUGAACCGUUAUAACCGGCGAUUUCCGAAUGGGGAAACCCAGUGUGAUUCGUCACACUAUCAUUAACUGAAUCCAUAGGUUAAUGAGGCGAACCGGGGGAACUGAAACAUCUAAGUACCCCGAGGAAAAGAAAUCAACCGAGAUUCCCCCAGUAGCGGCGAGCGGACGGGGAGCAGCCCAGAGCCUGAAUCAGUGUGUGUGUUAGUGGAAGCGUCUGGAAAGGCGUGCGAUACAGGGUGACAGCCCCGUACACAAAAAUGCACAUAUUGUGAGCU